AUGGCUCCGACCGAGGGAUCCUCCAUGGCCGAUCUUCCUACAGUCGAUGGAGACCAAGAGGAGGGGUCAUCGAUCUCCCGCCGCCCCAUGUCCUGGCUCCCUCCGCGCAGCCCCCGCGACUGCGGCGAGCCUCCUCCAAAGUCGGUCGUUCUCGACACCCUGGUCUACGUCGACGACUGCACCAACGCCUCCACCGCCGAGGGCGUCACCAGCAACGGCCACGCCAUCUACCUCACCUUCUGGCCCGCGCAUCCGCCGCUCAUCUCCUACUUCACCGUCCACCUACCGACCCUCCUCCAGGAUGGAUCUGCCACCUCGCUCACCCUUCUGCCACGCCUUGUCCGCACCGACGGCGACCUCGCCCUCUUCCGCGUCAUGAUCGGCUGUUCAUACAUCGACCCAGACCACAACAACUACAUCAUCUACCGUGCCGGCAUCAACAAGCUUGAGGUGCUCCCCACGCAUCCCACCCGCUUGUUCGCCGACUGGUCAGUCGCCCUCCUAAGCUGCCCCGGCGACGGCAGGUUCUUGGUCGCCAAUGUCCGUUCGACUUACGACAUUGGGCAGUACGCCCUUGACCUGUUCGACUCCGGGUCAGGCACAUGGAGCACCAGGUCCAUGCGUACAGAACCUCCACACGAGGACUGCUACUACGGUACUCCAACCAAGGUGAUCGCCCUCGGUGGCCAUCGCGGUUCAGUCGGCUGGGUCGACCUAUGGAAUGGCAUCCUCAUCUGUGAUCUGCUCCGCAGCGGCGGCGGCGAUGAUGACGUCCUCCGCUUCAUCCGUCUGCCCGUGCUUUUGGCGCCCAACAAGAUGACCCCGGGCUGUUUGUCGUGUGACCGGGACGUCUCCGUCGGCAGCGACGGCUGCAUCAAAUACUCGGAGGUGUGGGCUCAUCCGGUGCCCGGCUCACGGAAUCGCGCCACCUACAUCUCUGAGGACUGGGGUACCGCCAGACAUGGCUGGAGCCCAAGAAGAAGUGGCACAUCGACCUCAAGCUCAGAGCCUCGGACAUCAUCGUGGACGAGAUUCACUCCGAGUUACUUCCUCAUCAUGUCAAGGGUCAAACCUUGA
rnacentral:rRNA from 1 species